GGGAGGGGGAGAGGGGAGGGGAGGAGAGUGGUUUGGGGGUUUCACAGAUAUGCUAUUCUAGGUUUUGAAAAUCAGCUUGGCUAAAGAGAAAGUGCAAGAAAAUGGGUAAGAAAAGUUGAACGAAAUCAACGAAUUACCUGGAGACUGCAAUAUUGCGACACAGAGACUCGAAACGCGAAAGAAGGCACUGGAAUAGUGCCACGUACGCGAUCCUUUUCGCUACGCUAAGCGAGAAUGUCCU
rnacentral:misc_RNA from 1 species